CUCAGUCGUGCUUAAGGUGAUAUGUUUAAUAUUGCUUUAGUGUUAUAAUACACACAAACAACAUAGACAGUUCAGUUGCAAAACAUUCAGCGAGGAAGAGGAGGGGCGGGAGAGAGAGAGGGAAAACUCCUCUCUCCGGUGUCGCUUGCUGGCUGCUCAGACUCUCCAAGGAAGCCGUGAUGGAGACACGAUGAAAUGGACGGGGUUGACUCGGAGGAGCUGGAGUGCCGGGCGUUUACAAAACGGCAAAUGUGCUUUAUGGGGUGUCAGGAAGCGUAUUUUAUUACAAAAUAGACGAGGAUGUGGAGCACGGCAUCAAUGACGUCAGUGCGCACGCGCAGGGGCGGACGGCUUUAGCUCGCCGCCUGCCAGCCAGUCGUCCUGCGAUGUAGGCGCACAAGUGGAGGAGAAGAAGGCAAACUGAGGAGCGUGGACAUGGCGACAAAGUGUCAACAGCGUGGCGUGAAGAUGAUUUCACUCAGGCGGCCAUAAAGUGCAAAUCAUGUCCGGGACAGCUGAUGCAGACGGUGCAGAGGGAGCAGUCUCCAAAGUGCAAGUCAAGAGGGAGAUCAAGACCAUUGUGGAGAAUUUGGAAACCAUCCUGGGAGACCUCAAGGAUGUGGCCAAGGAGCUCAAAGAGGUCGUCCAUGACAUUGACACGCUGACGUGCGACCUGCAGCUGGAGGAGGACGGUCUGACGGACAGCUCCAAGACGGACACGCUCAACUCCAGCUCCAGUUCUACCGCCACCACCACUACUACAGCCUCAAGCCUGGAGAAAAUGAAGUUUUUCGCCGAUGACUGCCUCUCCAAACCCGCCCCGCUGCCCACCAUCCACUGCGGGGUGCUGACCGUACACAAGAAGGCACACCCACCCUUGCCACCACCCAGACUUACCUCUGUGAGAGCCGAGGAUCACAACGGGAAGAGUCUGCCUCACCCAACGCUAGUGUUGUCAGGGAAUCCGUCCAAAGCUAACGGAUCACUAUUGAAGAAUGGUGGCGUUUUUCCCUUAAAGCCAAACCGGGACUUGUUCUCCCCUACAUCAUGUUUUAUUACCAAUGACGGCGGCAUACCGGAAUCAGGUCUGGUACCCACGCUGCCCAGACCUAUGCCUCUGCUCCACCAUGAAAAGAACAAAUGCCCCAAAGCCCCCAGCAGGGAGCCCCGUGAGAGGGUGCGUUUCAGUGAGAAGGUCCAGUACCACGGCUACUGUCCAGACUGUGACCUACAGUACGAUGUGGAUCACUCAGAGCUGCACUUGCAAGCCGAGCUUAACGACACGAGGCUCAGUCCUGUGCACUGUUGCUCAUCUUUUUCCCCUCCUCCGCUCCCCCAUGACCUGGAGAACGGUGGCCUUUUGGUCUACAACAGUUUUCCACCAAAGGCCAACACCCCUUCUCCUCCUCCUCUACCUUGCGUACCUCCUCACCCCGCUUCCCUCAAACCUCAGAAAACCAUCCUGCGUAAAUCCACCACAACCACAGUUUGACGACAAGCCCCCCCCCAUGUUCUGUGUAAUUUCCACAAACCUGAAUCAUUCGUAGUGUUUUCUACUUAGCCAGCGCCUUCUUCUCCGGUCCAAUUUUUCGGAUUAUUCAUACAGAGAGAGGCCGGAAAAUGGGAGACAAAAGGAAGCGGAGUGGGAUCACAUGGGCUCCGAGAAGUAUGCGACAGAUUUGGACAAAGCGGUCCCCUCCGAGACCCUUCAGCGACACCUGCAAGCGGGGUGCUCGUUUGGGCGGAGGCGAGGAAACCAAGCAUCAAUCUUAUUUUGGAAGGCUGGCGACCAACAGGAGAUGAAUCAAGGCUGUGAAUUUGGAGCACUUCAACAACAACAACAUUUUCAGGCUUAGUGAAAUGAGGGACAUUUCCCUGUGGGUUGUACUCAAAAUAUUGGGUUCUCAAAAAUACAGCGGCACAUUCUAAAAAUCAACAGUAAUGUCACAAGAAUAAAGUCAAAAUAUUAUGAGGAAAAAGUUGGAAUCUAACAAAAUGUCUGAGGACCAUGUUAUAAUGUAAAGAAAAAUAACGUAAUUUUAGUUGUCUAAGGUAUAUAGAAUAUAGAACAAAUAUAUAGAAAAAUACAGUAUUUUUUUAAGUUGUAAUAUUUUGUGAAGUAAACAAAACAAUUGAUAAAAUUUACAUUUUUGGAAUAUAAGGUCUUGGAAAAAGUUGUAAUCUUACAAUAAUGUGCAAAUAUAAGAAGAAAAUUAUAAUAAACAGUAGACAUUUUUAAAAAGUGCUGUAAUUUUACAAUAAUAAAGUCAAAAUAUUAAGAGUAAAAAGUUGGAAUCUAAUGAAAAGUCAUAAUUUUAUGAGGAUAAUGGUAUAAUAUGAGGAAAAUAUAGAAUAUAUAGAAAGUUUGAAAUAUUUUGCGAAACAAAGGUUGUGGAAAAAGUUACAAUCUUGUAAGAAUGAAGUCAGAAUGUAAGAAUAAAAUCAUAAUUUAUUAAAAGUUUUCAAUAAAAAAAAACAGCCGUAAGUCAAAAUAUUCAUUCAGUCAUUUACAAAAAUAGUUGCACUUUUACAGGAAUAAACUCACACUAUCGUGAUGAAAAUUUAAAAAAAUAAAAUAAAAAUAUGUAAUAUAGUAUAGUAUAUAUAUAGUAUGUAUUUAAUAGUAUGGCAAUAAAGUCCUAAUAUUAUGAAAUGAAUUUAGAAUUAUUAAAGAUGAAAGUCGAAAUAUUUGGCAAAUAAAAGCAAAAAAUGGUAAUCAACUGUUUUUUGUUAAUAUAUAACUUUUAACAUAUUUACAAAAAAUCAAAGCAGCUCCUGCGUCCUUUCAUUUUUCACGACAUGACCCUCGCUGGAAAAGGUUUUUAUAUAACAUUUUUAUAAAGCGAUAUGAAUAAGUGUCCAAUGGAGACGCAGUAAUCUGUACGAAUUAGCAGUUCCUGGAGGUCUCUGCUAAUUUCAAAUAUGAUGUCCUGCAGCAUAUGCACGUUACACUUAAAUAAGAGGAAGAUGAAUGAUGGUGGCUGCUUUGUGUCUAAACAAUAUAUCCAUCAUACAUAUCACUAGGAUGUGCCAAGCAAGCUACCGGUGUGUUUUCUUACUUUCUGCCCCGCCCCCACACAGAUAAAACAAUGCUGAUUCUGAUGGAAGUAAUAAUUUGCAUCAAAUUUUUCCGUGUAUGCAAAUCUACAUGAGCAUGUUUGAUAUCUCUAUAUUUCAAGCAUUUUUUUUCUACAGAGACUUUUAACAUUUGAAUAGAGGAUAUUUUUGAUAUCACGACUGAAGACGACUGAAACAUGUCACUGCGCCCCGCAAUCAGCGGGAGGAGAGACGCUGUGCAGACGGAGAAUGAAAGUGGAGAACAUCAAUGGCGUGAGGAAAGAAGCGCUGCAAGAAUGGCGAACCGGUUGCAGUCACACAUUUGAUAGUCGACAUCCCACCUUUCCAAGGGCAGCGAUGGGAUACGCUCGUUUCAUGUUAUUCUAUUUGGAUGCCACCUAUACCAGGAAGGAAGGGAAGCAGCAGUCACAUAUCCCGCCCAUCUAACUGGUUCCGUUAAUAGAACAUGAGCGCUCCUUGUUGGUCAUGUGACCUGGAAAAAAAUGGGAGAAAGAAGGAAGAUAGAUAAAUUAUUGUUCUAGGAUUUCUAGGAUUUAACCGAGACGAAGCAUCUUUUGUAACGGGUAACGUGUUUAAAGCUAACAUUUACGUUGUCCAUAUUGUAAUCGGGUCGCUAACGGUGCUAGCUGACAUCGCUACUGAGGUUUAUUGUGUUUUUGUGAACUCUGCCGCAGUUAAAGUGUAUAUUGUCUCGAGCCAGUCAAACUGGGGAAACGGUACACCGCGAAUAACAAAAAUUGUGUACUAGAUACUUUGCUUGUAUACUCUGUCUUUUUACUUCAACGUUUUUCCAGUCUGAGCAAAGUGCUGAUGUGCCAAAAAAAGGGUGGCGACAAAGCCUGAAUCAUUACCUGGGUGUAGGACAUAACAGCGACAUGUUAUUUUCCAUGUAACAUAAACUGUUGUUUUAGUCAUGUUUUUUUGUGAAAUAGUGUGGAGAUAUGAUAUUUGAAGGUUUGUAAACAAACGAUGAUGGACGCAGGAGACAACUUGGCAC